AGGCUCCCUCCGAGGAGCCCGAACCCCGUGUGGGCUCUAGCACACACCGCCGGGACAGGGCAGGCCGGCGGCCCCGCCGCAUUUUGAGAGCUCGAAAACCUCCCCCGGCAACAAGUGACCCCCCCCGGGGCUUGGGGGGCUGCUGGGGGCGGCCGUUACGGUUACAUAACGGCCACCGGCUAACCUUCGGGGGGAAAAAGGGUUGGGGGAACGGCGCCGUGAAGAAAAGGAAUUUCAAGAGACAUAGAGCGUGGUACACUACAGUGAACAGUGCCCCAGUUACUAUCCUGUGCUAUGAACCUGUCCCUUCACCAAGCAACCAGGUAAAGCCUCAGUCUAAAACCCCUUGAUUUCUCAGCCUAACAUAUGCUGGAUGGCAGAUCGUGUCAGAAGAAGCCUGUAGCCCAUCUGUUGCCAGAUAGCUGAGUCUUUACAUUCUGCCAACGCAGCUUCAGCUGACGGAUCAUGGUACUCAUUGAACAUCUGGUCAUACAAUGACAUUUUCCUCUUCUUUGCUUGCUUUCCUGCGAGGAAGAGGAGGAGACUCCGUGCGUGAGUACUCCCCUCCCUAAGAGCCAUAUGGGAAUGUAAAGGCAUUCUCUGAAUUCAUUACUCUGCCCCACAAUAUGAUUCUGCCUUUAUACGAGCAAGAAAAUGGAUGUUAAUUUAUUCCUUAUUGCUAAUUUGAAAAGGAGCACAAACACAAGAGUUCCAUUGCAGAGACUUCUACCAAGGGUGUAGUUUAAGUCCAAUUAUAUGCUAUUAGUACAUUUGCUCUUUGUUCCUCUGGCAUAUUAAUUACAUGUCUGGUAUUCUGGUAAUUAACACAAUUAUACUCUUUAUUUUCCUCUUUCGUUAGACAAAAUUCUUCCACUUUAUUAAGAUAAGUAAUUUUCAUAGGUAAAAGAAGCCAAAUUAUUACAUAUUAAUAAAACCAAGCUAUAGGUUUUUAAGUGAGCUUACAGAGAGAAGGUCCAGCAGUAUUCUUCACCAAAAUGAAAAGCAGAUGCUCUCCUGUUGGGCUGCAGCCCAUCUCAGAGGCUUCUAAAGGGAAACCAAAUUACAAGCCUCCAGUUAUGUGUGCAGCAUCGUAACCAGCGGCUGAAGCAGCAGGGCCACAAGGACAGGACCAGCACUUCCACACACAGCUCUUCCAGCAACGUUAUUGCUGUUCAAAGGCUCACUGUUAGCAAGACCUUUCAUCUCCAUUUUAUAUUCACUAAACCCGAUGACGUUUUGAGAAAAAAAAAGAAAAGAGGAACAACAAAGGCUCAACCAAAAUGGUUUACAAUUGCACAGAUCGCCCACAAAUGAACAUUCAUCAGGGAGGAUAUUCCUGAAAAACAUUAAGGAACAACAAAAAAAAUGCACACUUACUAUUGUAAGACAAUAAGGUGGGUAGCUUUUUUUGACUAAAUUAAGUAGGCGUAGAGGUACCACACAAACAUGUUAAAGAUACUUUUUCCCCUUAGGACAAAUUAUUGUUCCUCUGAAAAUAAGUUACUGUUUCUCUCUAGUUUUCUAUAAAAACACAUCUGAAUUUCCACUAGGUCACAGAUGCUGCUAUGGGCAAAAAAGCCCCACUGUGGAAAGAUUUAUUUUUCCUUCUGUAUGUGGUUGUCUGGGGAAGGAGGAAAAGGACAAACAAAAUACUGUCUUCCCACAACAGGGCAGAAACUUCACAGUAUGUUGUCUAGCACCCUCCCUCCUCCCCAAAUCCCUUGGGUCCAGAUCUCUGGUGGGUCUGGCUGCAAUAUGUUUCUGGGUGCAGGAAACAGAGGUGUCCCACGCCAGAAUGAAUGUCACUCACUCCUUCUCAGAGACAGCAGUGGGCAUUCGUUAUUUUCUGCUACCUGGGACAAGUGUUACCCAUAAGAAAACCUGAAGUUUAUGAUUGCAAAUUGCUUUUAACUGUGUCUGCUUCCAUUACUGUUUUUAUUUUAUUUUUCCCUAUUGUACUGCAUUGCCUUUGUGUCCCUUGGGGAAGAAAAGAAAUAAAAACUCGGCAGGCAAAUAUCAGUGUUGAAAAAGCUUGCUCUGCCUUUCCCAAAAACACCAUCUGGAAUAUUUUUUACUUUAAAUGGUUGACUAGUAGACCAAAAUUAUCUAUCGGGGAUGUCUGAAAGACAGUUGUCAUCAUUAUUUCUAUCCAGACCAAAAAAUAAAACCACCCGAAACUGAUCUCAGAACCCAACUGUACUGACCCCUAUUCAGAUAGCACAGAGCUCUUAGCUGGAAGUAUUUACAAAAGUAAGGUUUUGAAGCAGGGGACAGGGCUGCUGUGUUCUGUUCCUGAUGACACCACUGACUGAUUUUACCCACAGACAAGUCCCUUAAUCUCCCUAUGCCUCAUUUAUCCUCUCAAUUUAAUGCCACUCACCUAUUCCACAAGCAUGUAAUAAGACUUCAUUAACUAACGUUUGUAAAGUACUUCAGGAUCCUAAUACAAAAGCUUCUCUAGAAAUUCUGAAUAUUAUUUUAAUUAAGAAGGCAGCAUUUAUAAGUUCCCUACCAUUAAAUUACCAUAUAUAUCUCAAACAGACAGUCCCAUUUCCAAACCAACCUUAAGGUGCGUGAAGACUGAUAUUUUAAACAUACUAUUCAAUAAUAUUUGAACCAAGAAUAUUAUGCAAGAGCACAAAAGUAUCAAGAUUCCUACUUGACUGUUCAUUGACUUUUAGCAUAUAAGCACCCAACAAGUCCAGAUUUAUUUGCAUUUUCUUGAGAAUAGAUUUGGAGUAAAGAUGGGAAAACUCCUAACACCCCAGCCUAGAUGAAAGCUAUCAUGUUUAACUUUUUCUUUUCUGGUAUUCAUGGCCUCAAUAAACUGUAUAAAAAAUUAAAAGGCUACAUACGGCAAAACUGCUUUUUUCUUUCCUGCCCAAAUGUUGAUUUUUUUUCCCCUGAAAACGUACAACACUUCUAAGAGCAAUCAUUCAGCUGCAUCAAAUGUUUAGUCUUCACAGUUGUGCUGAAAGUAGCUCGGGGACCUUUGUAAGGCACAGGGAACUGGGAACAGCAGAAUGCCAGAAAAACAGAUAAUUCAAUAUUUGAUUCCUUCUUCAGUACUACUCCUUGCCAGUCCUUGUCACCAGGCCAGGAAGCUGAAAGUAUACUACUAUACUACCACAUUCACAUGGGGAAAGAAAACUUGCCUCUCCUCUUUUCCUUUGAGUGCAAUUAGCAGACCAAAUCUAAUAAUAACAAAGGCAAGCAGGCACAACAAUACUGGAGGACAGACAACUGGAGGACAGACAAUCGGCACUGGUCUUCCCAUUGCCAAAACUCACUCUAUUGACAUUCUGAUGAGGGACUCUGGAAGAAAGGUCAGGAUGGGAACUAGAUUAUGGAAGACAUAGGAAAGGAGCCCGUUAGUU